rnacentral:misc_RNA from 1 species
CGCACAUUGCGCCCCUUGGUAUUCCAUGGGGCAUGCCUGUUCGAGCGUCAUCUACACCCUCAAGCUCUGCUUGGUGUUGGGCGUCUGUCCCGCCUCCGCGCGCGGACUCGCCCCAAAUCCAUUGGCAGCGUCCCUCGCCCCCUCUCGCGCAGCACAUUGCGCUUCUCGAGGGCGGCUCCCGGGCGCGACCCAGCAAGAUGACCACCGUCUUUGACCUCGGAUCAGGUAGGGAUACCCGCUGAACUUAA